GAAAUGCGAUAAGUAAUGCGAAUUGCAGAAUUCAGUGAGUCAUCGAAUCUUUGAACGCAUAUUGCGCCCUUUGGUAUUCCGAAGGGCAUGCCUGUUCGAGCGUCAUUAUCACAAUAUCAAGCCUGGCUUGUUGUUGGGCCCUUUGUCACCUGGUGACAGGUCCAAAAGACAAUAACCGGUGUCAUACAGACUCUAUAUGCAACGAGCUUUUAACAGCACGCAUCUGGUGGUUGUGUGGCCUGGUUUUCGCCCCCUUAUUUCUCAAGGUUGACCUCGGAUCAGGUAGGAAUACCCGCUGAACUUAA
rnacentral:misc_RNA from 1 species